UUGGGAAUCUUGCACAAUGGGGGAAACCCUGAUGCAGCGACGCCGCGUGGAGGAUGAAGGGUCUAGGCCUGUAAACUCCUUUUCUCGGGAAAGACUUAGGACGGUACCCGAGGAAUAAGGACCGGCUAACUACGUGCCAGCAGCCGCGGUAAGACGUAGGGUCCAAGCGUUGUCCGGAUUUACUGGGCGUAAAGAGCGCGUAGGCGGCUCGUUAAGUGUAGAGUGAAAUCUCUGGGCUCACCCCAGAAACUGCUCUGCAUACUGGCGAGCUGGAGGGAUGAAGAGGCUUGUGGAAUUCCUGGUGUAGCGGUGAAAUGCGUUGAUAUCAGGAGGAACACCCAUGGCGAAGGCAGCAAGCUGGUCAUCACCUGACGCUGAGGCGCGAAAGCGUGGGUAGCAAACA
rnacentral:rRNA from 1 species